CAGCCGUAAACAAUGUGCGUUAGGUGUGUCGGUAACCACGCGUUACUGAUGCGCCGAAGAGAAAUCGUGAAACGCACCACCUGGGAAGUACGGUCGCAAAGGCUGAAACUUAAAGGGAAUUGGCGGGGGAGCACCACAACAGGUGGAGCCUGCGGUUUAAUUGGAUUCAACGCCGGACAUCUCACCGGAUAAGACAGCUGAAUGAUUGUCAAUCUGAAGGUUUUACAUGACUAGCUGAGAGGUGGUGCAUGGCGUCAGUGACU
rnacentral:rRNA from 1 species